CCAAUGUGGACAUCCAGCAAGGUUGCUCUUGUCUGGCUCUGGCUGUGGGGCAUAUGGGUGUAGACAUUCAGUCCAUAAUGCACAGUCCCCUUCCACGACAUUGGAGAAAAAGCAUGUCCCUGGCUUGGAGCAGGUGAGCAUGGCAUCCUGUGUAUUCCUAGAGCUUUGCGGUCUGAGCAGCGACUGGAGAUUAACCAUGCAGAACACAAUG